UACGUAGGGGGCAAGCGUUGUCCGGAAUCAUUGGGCGUAAAGAGCGUGUAGGCGGCCCGGUAAGUCCGCUGUGAAAGUCCAGGGCUCAACCCUGGGAUGCCGGUGGAUACUGUCGGGCUCGAGUCCGGAAGAGGCGAGUGGAAUUCCUGGUGUAGCGGUGGAAUGCGCAGAUAUCAGGAGGAACACCAAUGGCGAAGGCAGCUCGCUGGGACGGUACUGACGCUGAGGCGCGAAAGCGUGGGGAGCAAACGGG
rnacentral:rRNA from 1 species